rnacentral:rRNA from 1 species
GACGGGGGGGGCAAGUGUUCUUCGGAAUGACUGGGCGUAAAGGGCACGUAGGCGGUGAAUCGGGUUGAAAGUGAAAGUCGCCAAAAAGUGGCGGAAUGCUCUCGAAACCAAUUCACUUGAGUGAGACAGAGGAGAGUGGAAUUUCGUGUGUAGGGGUGAAAUGUGUAGAGAUCGGGAGGAACACCGGUGGCGAAGGCGGGUCUCUGGGCAUCUCCUGACGCUGAGGCGCGAAAGCGUGGGGAGCAAACGGG